UGUGUCCCAGCAGCCCAGCUGAUUGGCUGGGCUGUGGAGGCGCCUGAUUGGCUGGCACACCCAGGAGGAGGAGAAUUGGCCAGCUACGAGCCAGGGCCGCUGGCGGGCCUGGCAAUGGGUGGUGACUGUGGGCCCGGCCUGGCCGCGGUGAAGCAGUGGCGGGCCCAGCCGAGGGCCGAUGCAGUGAGGCAGCCGGUGGCCGGGCGGUGGGCCCCGAUACCUGGGCAGAAGGUGGGGGGAGAGGUGGCUGGCCUGUGGCCGGCCACAAAGACUGGCAAGCAGUGGCAGUAGGCACGACAGGCCGCAGAGGCGGCACUUGGCGUGGCGGUCCCACUGGCAGGACAGGCCGCGGAGGCGGCUCUCAGCCAGGCGGUGCCGGAACCAGCCGCCGAGGCCGCCGAGACCAUGGGGGAGAGACUGGGGUGGGAGGGAACUGGGCAGCGGGACUUUCCUGUUUGCUGCCCAGGAGGAGGAGUGGCGGCAGCAGCAGCCCAUUUACACCCUUUAUCCCUAACCCUAUGCUUCACGACCUAGCCUUUUCCUGCCCAGUAUUUUCACUCAAGGCCCAAAUGACCAGGCUCAAACUAUCAUACUUUGGACACAUUAUGCGAAAACCCAGCUCCCUUGAGAAGUCCAUCGUGCUGGGAAGAGUUGAAGGAAAGAGAAGAAAACGAUGACCAGCAGCAAGGUGGAUGGACUCAAUUAUGACAGCAAUGAAUGCACCAUUGAGAGACCUUAAAGACCAAGUUGAAGUCAGAUCAUCCUGGAGAGAAUCUAUCUAUGUGGCCAUUAAGAGUCCACUCCAACUUGACGGCACUUAAUCAAUCAAAUAGUAUGCUCCAUACUCCACCAAGCUAGCAUACUCUAAUUCCAUUGAUACCCAGGAAUAAUGCCACAGAACUGUAAUGCUGGCACUUUCAAAGUAAUGGAAACCCAUGUGGAUACCGCAGUCACAACAUACCCCACAAUGUUAAUUUUCCCCACUACCUUAUCACCUAGCUUGAUUUUUAUCUGUGCUUUUUCAAAAUAAAGGAGGGGGGAGUUCUAAACCACCCAGAGCUUUUCAACUAAA